UACCAGCACCCCGAGUAGUCGGGACGAUUAUUGGGCCUAAAGCAUCCGUAGCCUGUUCUGCAAGUCCUCCGUUAAAUCCACCCGCUUAACGGAUGGGCUGCGGGGGAUACUGCAGAGCUAGGAGGCGGGAGAGGCAAACGGUACUCAGUGGGUAGGGGUAAAAUCCAUUGAUCUACUGAAGACCACCAGUGGCGAAGGCGGUUUGCCAGAACGCGCUCGACGGUGAGGGAUGAAAGCUGGGGGAGCAAACCGGAUGAGAAAACCUCGUAGUCC
rnacentral:rRNA from 1 species